rnacentral:rRNA from 1 species
GCUGGCGGCGUGCCUAAUACAUGCAAGUCGAGCGAAUGGAUUGAGAGCUUGCUCUCAAGAAGUUAGCGGCGGACGGGUGAGUAACACGUGGGUAACCUGCCCAUAAGACUGGGAUAACUCCGGGAAACCGGGGCUAAUACCGGAUAACAUUUUGAACUGCAUGGUUCGAAAUUGAAAGGCGGCUUCGGCUGUCACUUAUGGAUGGACCCGCGUCGCAUUAGCUAGUUGGUGAGGUAACGGCUCACCAAGGCAACGAUGCGUAGCCGACCUGAGAGGGUGAUCGGCCACACUGGGACUGAGACACGGCCCAGACUCCUACGGGAGGCAGCAGUAGGGAAUCUUCCGCAAUGGACGAAAGUCUGACGGAGCAACCGCCGCGUGAGUGAUGAAGGCUUUCGGGUCGUAAAACUCUGUUGUUAGGGAAGAACAAGUGCUAGUUGAUAAGCUGGCACCUUGACGGUACCUAACCAGAAAGCCACGGCUAACUACGUGCCAGCAGCCGCGGUAAUACGUAGGUGGCAAGCGUUAUCCGGAAUUAUUGGGCGUAAAGCGCGCGCAGGUGGUUUCUUAAGUCUGAUGUGAAAGCCCACGGCUCAACCGUGGGAGGGUCAUUGGAACUGGGAGACUUGAGUGCAGAAAAGGAAAGUGGAUUCAUGUUUAGCGGUGAAAUGCGUA